rnacentral:rRNA from 2 species
UCUCCUGGAAACGGGUGGUAAUGCCGGAUGUUCCAGUUGAUCGCAUGGUCUUCUGGGAAAGCUUUCGCGGUAUGGGAUGGGGUCGCGUCCUAUCAGCUUGACGGCGGGGUAACGGCCCACCGUGGCUUCGACGGGUAGCCGGCCUGAGAGGGCGACCGGCCACAUUGGGACUGAGAUACGGCCCAGACUCCUACGGGAGGCAGCAGUGGGGAAUAUUGCACAAUGGGCGCAAGCCUGAUGCAGCGACGCCGCGUGAGGGAUGGAGGCCUUCGGGUUGUAAACCUCUUUUAUCGGGGAGCAAGCGUGAGUGAGUUUACCCGUUGAAUAAGCACCGGCUAACUACGUGCCAGCAGCCGCGGUAAUACGUAGGGUGCAAGCGUUAUCCGGAAUUAUUGGGCGUAAAGGGCUCGUAGGCGGUUCGUCGCGUCCGGUGUGAAAGUCCAUCGCUUAACGGUGGAUCCGCGCCGGGUACGGGCGGGCUUGAGUGCGGUAGGGGAGACUGGAAUUCCCGGUGUAACGGUGGAAUGUGUAGAUAUCGGGAAGAACACC